GAUGUCUUUUCUGCUGCUGAGCAGACUGGCAGGCAGCCGGUGAUGGGGCCCUACUUGGAAGACCCCCUCCUCUGCUGGCUCCUGCGAUUCUUCAGCCUCCUCGUCAGUGUCUACAGCAGUGGGACCAAUGGUGGAGGCCCUGCUCCUGGAGUUCAGGAUUCUGGAGCUCCUGAUCCUCUGCAGGGGAUCCGAGGAGGUUCUGUGCUGUUUCCUUUGCCCAAGAAGCAAGACGCUGAGCUGGAGGAGGGCACGUGGGGCUUUGGUCCUGGGUCAGAGUACAGAGUCCUGCUGCGAGUCCGUCCUGGGAAAGCUCCCACCUGGGUCAGCCUCCAGGACAGGUACCAGCAGAGGGUCCAUGUGCCCAACAUGACGUCCCUGAAGAUUGAGAACCUGACCCCUGAGGACAGUGGGCUGUACCGGGCUCGAGUUAGCUUCACUGGAGGAGUAGAACUUACCAAGGUUUUCCACCUCACUGUCUAUGAGCCAGUGACCAUUCCCCAGAUCCUGGUCCACUCAUCAUCCAUCACACCAGGCUGGUGCAAUGUUACCAUGGAGUGCAGGACCUCAGGGGACGCAGAGGACCUGAAGGUGACCUGGGAGGGCAAGGGCCUCCCCAGGGAGCUGGAGGAGAGAGUGACAUCAGGACCAACCCCCAAUUCGUGGACCCUGGCUGUGCACCUGCCCCAGAGCCAGCCCUACACCAACAUCACCUGUGUGGUCAGCAACGAAGUGGACCAGAAAACUGCCACCUUCAACCUUGGGGAAGUCUGUGUCCAUGGUGAGUGUACCUGCCACAGGGGAGGGGCACUCUUGGAGCUCGGGUGCAGUGGAGCAAAGGUUCUGGGCUGUUGUCCACACCACGUUAUUAGAACCACCUUCCACUGGGUCGCCCCAUAUAGGAGCCUGGGAGGUACAGCCAACCCAUCUUUGCUUUUAACGGUCUCUCACAUCUAAGCCUGCCUCUCCAUCCCUUGCCCAUUCUUGUCCAGGGCAUGAGCUUUCCAGUACUCUUCCCUCCCAUCCACUAUCCAUAGCGUGUCCUCUGUAAUCUUUUGGAAAAGAAAUUGGAUUGUGUAUUGGUCUGUGUCGUCUGUGGGGUCUGACCCAGUGAUUCCCUGUAGAAUUCAGGGCUCAGACAUUUCUCUGCCCAUGUUUCUGGCUUCACUUACACACUUCGUAGUGAAUGGUGUGUGUGUAUGUGGUUGUUGUUGUUAUUUUUGUCUUUUUAGGGCUGCACCCGCGACAUAUGGAGGUUCCCAGGCUAGGGGUCCAAUCGGAGCUGCAGCUGCUGGCCUGUGCCACAGCCACAGCAAUGCGGGAUCCAAGCCACAUCUGUGAUCUGCACUGCAGCUCACAGCAAUGCUGGAUCCUUAACCCACUGAGUGAGGCCUGGGAUCGAACUCACAUCCUCAUGGAUACUAGUUGGGUUUGCUAACCCCCGAGCCAUGACGGGAAAUCCUGUUGCUGUUUUUCAGUUUUUGAAUGUGUCCUGCAAGCUUUGAGCCUCUGAUCAUGCCGUUUCCUCCACCAUCAUUCCUCCCACUCUCGUCACUUCCUGAAGGAUUCCCUUCAGGCACUGCUGCUUCAUGAGCAUGUGACAAGCACCAUCACACAGGGCCCUGCACUUGGUUAUAGUUCUGUCAUUAAUACUAUUUGAGCAAAGGGCACCUCAAUCUCAUGCUGCACAGACCCCUGCAGGUGCUGUAACUGUCCUAUCCUCAGGCAUUACCCCUUAAAAGGAGCAGUCUGUGGCCACCCCCCGCCAAGCAGCAAUGCUUUGCUAAAGGAUUUGUCUCCUUUGUAGCUGGAACACUUCGAGAGCAGAAGUCAUGUCUUUUUUUUUUUUAAUUAAAUUAUAGUUGAUUUACAAUGUUGUACCAAUUUCUGCUGUAUAGCAAAGUGACCUAUUCAUAUGUAUUUAUAUAUCUAUUUUGAUAUAUAUAUGUAUAUACAUAUAUUCUUUUUCUCAUAUUAUCUUCCAUCAUGCUUUAUCACAAAUGAUUGGAUAUAUAUAGUUCCCUGUGCUAUACAGAAGGACCUCAUUGCUUAUCCUUUCUAAAUGCAGUAGUUUGCAUCCGCUCACCCCCAAUCCCAGUCCAUUUCAUUCCCUCCCCUCUCCCCCUUGGCAACCACAAGUUUGUUUUCUAUGUUUGUGAGUCUGUUUCUGUUUUGUAAAUAGGUUCACUUGCACCAUAUUUUAGAUUCCAUGUAUAAGUGAUAUCAUUGGUAUUUGUCUUUCUGAUAUACUUAAUAUAAGAAUCCUAGUUGCAUCCAUGUUGCUGUAAAAGGCAUUGUUUUUAUCUUUUUCAUGGUUGAGUAGUAUUCCAUUGUAUAUAUGUACCAUGUCUUCCUAAUCCAUUCUUCUGUUGGUGGACAUAUAGGUUGUUUCCAUGUCUUGCUGUUGUGAAUAGUGCUGCAGUAAACAUAGGGGUGCACAUCUUUCUUUCAACCCCUGAACCAAGGACAGCUUCUGGCAAAGUUUGCUCAUGGUCAGUGUUUCACUGAGUGAAUGACCUGAUACCCUAUCAGCAGCAUCCUGGAGUUUCAAAUAAAGUUCAACACUCAACAUGACCCUUAAAACCCUCUGGAAAGAGACUCUUCCUCCCUCUGAUCCUCUUCAGCCAGCUCCUCCCUGCCAUGUCCCUCUCCUGCCUGCCACAGUAAGGUGAUGGCAGUUCUAAGGCCAAUGGUUUGCCACAGCCAUUGCCUGGACGUGGGCCUCCUCCUUCCUGGAAUGCAGUCCUCAACCUGAAUACGUAGUAAACUCCUACUCCUGCCUCAAGACUCAGUUUUAAACAUCACCUCCUCUAGGAAGCCCUCCCUGAAGACGUGUGUAUGGGUGGAAACCUCUAUUGCAUGGCAGUCUCUCUGGCUGGUAGACGUUGGUGUUUUCUCAGUGUUCUCUCUGGGUGACCACACCUUGUUCCUUCCAGUCUCCCUGAACUCAAGCAGGAGCUCAGGAGGAGGCUGACUGAAUGAACCUGCCAAGCUCCUCCCUCUUCAGCUUCUGAACCAGGACCCUUCAGACCUCUCCACGUGCUCGCUCCUCUCUUUCCCCUUGGCAAUAGGCAUCUCAAGUUCUUUCUGGCCUUAAUGUUCUCAUUCUCUCCGUGUGAGGGAAACAGGUUCACAUGGACAAGCCAAAGCUGUUGCCCUGCCAGGCAUCUUAGGGGCAGGGGCUACUGUGGCUACACUAUUACUGAUCCUUGGAAUUGGACUCUGCCUUUGGAAGAAGAAGAAGAAGAAGAAGAUGGAGACUGCAAGAGGAUUGCAGGAGGAGUCUAAGGACCGUGACGGUGGCAUCCAAUAUGUAGAGCUGAGCCAGCAGGAUUCUCGAGAGAGCACGGACCAGGUGAGAUCUGGCACUAUGCCCAGCCUGGGUUUUCCUCACCUGAGUUUGGGCCUGUGAACACAGUCAUCUGCUUUUCUAGGCCUCUCUGCCUCUAACCCUUUCUAGACAGUCAAUAGUAUUUACUAAGAAAAUUGAUACCUGGGACCGGUGUAGUACUGGGCACUUUGGGGAAAUCGACACGAAAUUCAAUCAGCAGCAUCAGUCCAUGGGGGUCCCCCUGGGACCUCUCUCAGUUGUUGUGGGAACCUUCUGCUUGCAUUCCUAGGGUGAUGGUGAACGACGUCUAAAUGAAAAGGAGUCUCUUAAUACUGUCUACAGUGAGGUCCAUAAGCCAGCAAGUGUGCCCAUGAAGAUAAUUUAAUUGGAGGAGGCAGAAGAAUUGACACUCCUAGGACACCUCCAUUCUGAAUUUGAUCCCUGCAGAUACCUGCCCCUACGAGUGCUGGUCCAGCACCAGCUGCCUCUGGUCUGCAUUCCUCUGACCUUUGUGCCCUCAACUCCCUGGGCUCACGUGGCCCUGUCACUUCCUCUGUCAACUCUAUAUGCUGCCUUCCACUCAGGUUCCUCACUCCAGAAGGACUAGUGCUCUUUCUCCGUCAUUGACUCUGCUCCUGAUUCCUCUCCUUCUGAAGUUUCCCUAGGAGGAUCUCCCUACCUGUGCAUGUGUUCAUCCCCACAGCCUCUGCGCUGUGGCUGGUGUGUAUCUUUCUGAGAACAGGAGCCUGGGCGUGGGGACUGUGUGGAGGUUUCGACUACACCAUAGAGGGAGUUAGGAACUUGGAGCUGGGUGUUGAGCUGAGUGUCCAUGGAGGUGGCCUGGAUGGAUGGGUAGGAGCCUACAAAAGACGGGCCUGAGGCGUCCUUUGUAUGGCAAAAGGUGUUGGAGGGACUGUCUAGUAUACAUCAUACAUGGGGGCCAGAGCCCUUGAUCCUGAUCACCCAUACUAACCUCAGCUUCAGCUCAUGGGCCUUAAAUCCAUCUCUCGUGGAAUGUGAAGAGGAAUUUGUAUUGUCUCUGGUCCUUCCAAGCCAACUCCUUUUCAGAGAAAGACCCCAGGAACCCAAUGUUGGGACUCUGUGUUCUUCCCUGUCUGGGCCAGGGGUUCUUGUCAUUAGAAUGGUCAUGCAGGGAGUUCCUGUUUUGCAGCAGUGGAAACAAGUGCUACUGGUAUCCAUGAGGAUGCAGGAUCCAGUAUUGCUGUGAGCUGUGGUGUAGGUCGCAGAUGCGGCUUGGAUCCCACAUUGCUGUGGCUAUGGUGUAGGCUGGCAGCUAUAGCUCUGAUUUGACCCUUAGCCUGGGAAUUUCCACCUCCAUGUGCUGUGGGUGUGGCCCUAAAAAGAAAAAGAAAAAGAAUGGUAGUGCAUGUUCCCCCACCACCCCCAUGGUGAGGCUGCUAUGAGGUGUGAAGGGUGAAACUUAGGGGAAGGUCUGAACCAGCCCUCUCCUGCCUCUUCUACUGACCCUCAGACCCCACAGUCCUGCUGGCCUCAGAUCCUGGGUCAGUCUCCUCUUUGCUCACUCACAUCCCUCUGCCUGGAAUGAUGGAUCCUUUACCCUGUCUCUUAUUCCCAUCCCUGGCUGUUGAAAACCUACCAACCCACCCAAAGCCUCUCUUCAAGUCACGUGUUCCAGGGAGCCUGUCUGCUACCAAGAGUUGGAAAUGUCCUCUCCCACAUCUGACCUUCUUGAACACCAUGGACAUAACUAAGGCCCUUGCUGCUAUCGGCCAUGGACUGGUCAUGCCAGACUUGCCUAGGGCUCCCUCAAGAGGGUGUUGGGGUUUAGGAGGCAAGGACCAAGAAGACAAACACCUGUCUCUAAGCCUCCUCACAACUUCCACGGGGACUCAGCAGACUGAGACCCAGAGCACAGAGGCUGCUGAAGGUCUCGCUGGUGGUGAGCCCACUUGGAAGCAAAGAGGGAUGUGAUGACCUCCCAUGACCUUGCCUGGCCCAGAGAUCUGAGGAGGGGCUUCCCCACCCCAUCUCCAGCCUCCCAUUGCCUGAGGACCUGAUACAGCCUGCACUGUGCUGUGUGGGGUCUUCUCCUCCCCCUGGGGGUUUUCAUCUCAUCAAAGCCUCUGCCUCCUGCCUUCGGUCUCAGCUCUUGGGUCAGAGAUGGGCUCGCUCUGGAACGAUGAUCUGUGGAAACUUGACUGCUGGUCUAGAUUCCUGGAUUUCUUGGUUCCCUUCCCAGCUCAGCAAGCUCAGCUGAUUCACCUCUAACUUCAGAAAGCAAAGUUCUGAGCUAAAACCUUGAGCAUGAUGAAGCAAGGCUGGGAGCCUUCUUCCCAUGGAUAAAGGAGGAUGAGAGUUUCAAUAAUAAAGCUGUUUCUAACCUCUUUCUGCUCAGGCUGAACAGAAGGCUAAGAGAAAAAGAGGAGGUCUGCCACUGGCCUCCCAGGUGACCGGUCAUGCCUGGGUGUCAGUGCCCAUCAGCCCAGAAGCAAUGUAAGAGGUGACUACCCAUUGAUCCCUCCCCUCCAACCUAUAGCAGGAGAGAAAAAAAAAA
rnacentral:lncRNA from 1 species